GGAGUUAUGAAAUGUAGACUCGCUAAUAUCGGGUCUAUUUGACAAAGGCUCCAAAGGAAGCCACGGCUAACUCUGUGCCAGCAGCCGCGGUAAUACAGAGGUGGCAAGCGUUGUUCGGAAUUAUUGGGCGUAAAGAGCACGUAGGUGGAUUUGUAAGUCAGACGUGAAAGCCUUCUGUUCAACGGAAGAAUUGCAUCUGAAACUACAAACCUUGAGUGUAGGAGGGGAGAGUGGAACUUCUGGU
rnacentral:rRNA from 1 species